rnacentral:rRNA from 1 species
GAUGAACGCUGGCGGUGUGCCUAAUACAUGCAAGUCGAGCGAACGGACGAGAAGCUUGCUUCUCUGAUGUUAGCGGCGGACGGGUGAGUAACACGUGGAUAACCUACCUAUAAGACUGGGAUAACUUCGGGAAACCGUAGCUAAUACCGGAUAAUAUUUUGAACCGCAUGGUUCAAAAGUGAAAGACGGUCUUGCUGUCACUUAUAGAUGGAUCCGCGCUGCAUUAGCUAGUUGGUAAGGUAACGGCUUACCAAGGCAACGAUGCAUAGCCGACCUGAGAGGGUGAUCGGCCACACUGGAACUGAGACACGGUCCAGACUCCUACGGGAGGCAGCAGUAGGGAAUCUUCCGCAAUGGGCGAAAGCCUGACGGAGCAACGCCGCGUGAGUGAUGAAGGUCUUCGGAUCGUAAAACUCUGUUAUUAGGGAAGAACAUAUGUGUAAGUAACUGUGCACAUCUUGACGGUACCUAAUCAGAAAGCCACGGCUAACUACGUG